rnacentral:rRNA from 1 species
UACGUAGGGGGCAAGCGUUGUCCGGAAUCAUUGGGCGUAAAGAGCGUGUAGGCGGCCCGGUAAGUCCGCUGUGAAAGUCCAGGGCUCAACCCUGGGAUGCCGGUGGAUACUGUCGGGCUCGAGUCCGGAAGAGGAGUGUGGAAUUCCUGGUGUAGCGGUGAAAUGCGUAGAUAUCCGGAGGAACACCAGUGGCGAAGGCGACUUUCUGGCCUGUUCUUGACGCUGAGGCGCGAAAGCCAGGGGAGCAAACGGG